rnacentral:rRNA from 1 species
UGCCAGCAGCCGCGGUAACACGGAGGGUGCGAGCGUUAAUCGGAAUUACUGGGCGUAAAGCGCACGCAGGCGGUUUGUUAAGCUAGAUGUGAAAGACCAGGGCUCAACCCUGGGAACGCGAGGGAAACUGGUAAGCUGGAAUCUUGGAGGGGGUACUGGAAUUCCUAGUGUAGGGGUGAAAUCUGUUGAUAUUAGGAAGAACACCGGAGGCGAAGGCGAGUACCUGGCCAAAGAUUGACGCUGAUGAGCGAAAGCGUAGGGAGCGAACAGGAUUAGAUA